GUGGUAAUAGCUCAGUUGGUUAGAGCAUCGGAUUGUGGUUCCGAGGGUCGCCGGUUCGAAUCCGGUUUACCACCCCA
rnacentral:tRNA from 1 species